AGGUCAUUUCAAAGAAGGCUUAUGUGACUAUGAAAUAGAAUCUUUUAACACUAGGAACAAGGUUUAAUGUCUCCAUAGUGGUCAUCUCAAUGGUGCUGUUUUCCUGAGGAGAUACAAGA
rnacentral:snoRNA from 1 species